AGCAAGAAGAAGAAGAAGAACAACAAUG
rnacentral:sRNA from 1 species